AAAGUUGGGUAAUCUCUGUGUAAUCAUGAACAUUUCAGUGGAGGUCUAAAUCUUUUAUUUGUUUGGUAAGUGUGGGUCAAAUAUUUACAACUGAUGUCACUCGUUUAUUCACUGAAAUAUAACACGGAACUAGAAAACUGGUGGAGGGAGGGAGCGCUGGUGGAGGGAGGUGAGAGGAAGGGAAGUGGAGGGUGCAGUGUCAGGAAGAGCGAGGGUGUAGCAGGGAAAGUACUGGUCUGUGCUGCGUGUGGGAAGUGACUUUAGUGGCGGCGUGAAGGCGAGGACACGAGUGAGGUGCUGGCAGGCUGACUGAGCUGCUGAUUGGAUAUGAAAGUGGGCAGCUGGUUCUGUGGGACUUCAAGGGCCGCUGUGCUGAUGUCAGAUACCAGUCUGCUGAACCCCUAAGGUCAUUGUCUUGGCACCACGAGGGAGAGCAGGGUAUGUGCUGUCAUAUGGACCGGUCACUCACAACUUGGACUCUGAAACAAGCCUCUCCCAGACGCCCCCCCCCCCC